rnacentral:lncRNA from 1 species
UACGGUGCGUCUCAGUGUAAGGAUGCGCUGUAGCUAACAUCGUGAUGAGUAUUGCAACAAUAUCUAAUUAUAACGGACUUAUUCAACGACUGGCAAGCAUGCGACUUCCACUGUUCAAGAGGAUUUAGAUUCAGUCUGCUUUGAUCUGCAACACACCGUCCUCCCUCUUGUGGCGCGAAACAUUUGCGACUGUCACGUGACUCGACGUCUGCGUCGCAAUACUUCAUCAGAAGCCGUUAGCUGGGAGGCAGGCAGUGAAAAAGAUUCAGACUAAAAUGGACUUGGUGAGACUGCCUGAAGAAUUAAAAAUAGUAAAAGAAGAAAGAAGCCAACGAAAUAUAGAAAGACGCUCCAAAACUCAACAGUUUGUACAGACACCACAAAGUGAUUGUGUCUUGAGAUCAGUUGGUGGUGACUUUCUGGAAAAAAAGAUGGCUUUAAGGUAAUGGAUCAUGGUUUCCUAUUGGUUAAUCUUCUGCCUGAUCCUGUCAUGGUCAAAUCUUCCUGGCAUCUAAGAUGUAGUCUACUUGACACAAAUGCGCUGCAAACUACCGUCUGGUGAAGGCUGGCAGUCAAGCCCCCCAAGUUCGUUUGUCCAAGGGACAUAAUUUCAUGUCGAUGCCCUUCCACACUGUAUUUCAGGGGAGCCUAUUUGAGCGGCAGUUAAUUUUUCCUUCUUCCCCAGAUAGAUUUGCUCGUUAAAAAUUUGAAGACUUCAUUGUAGUUGAGUUCUAAGAUCUGCAUGUGG